rnacentral:lncRNA from 1 species
AAUAAUAAUGGCUUAAAAAUAGGUAUCCAUAUACUUACUCUUCAUAUGAGUUAUAGUUAUGAAAGAUAAUGAGCAUUUAGCUGAAAUCAUUAGAAAUGAGUGAUCACUCUUUAUAUGUGAAGGGAACAAGAAUAUGGAUUCCUGAUAUCGAUGAAGUAUGGAUUGGUGGUUUUUUGCAGAAUGAUAUAUGUAAUGGAAAAUUAGAAAUAGAACUUGAGGAUG